rnacentral:ncRNA from 1 species
AAAAAUUCUGUGAAAAAGAGAGUAACUCUAAAUGGAUUUUCAGCGAACUAGGGUUGGUGUGAGCCUAGUAAUGAAGUUUAUUGUGAAGAGAGCUUUUGAGAAUAUAGUUUGAAACUAAGUAUGACUAUAGGUUUUCUCGCCUUAAGAGAUUAAGUGGAUAGAAUGAUUUUUUAUUUCUAUCAACCAGAGUGGUACCGCGGAAAUUUUCGUCUCUUGG